CCAUUCGUUACAUACAGCGUUCCAUCUAUCCCUACGAUGAGCUUCCUACAUAUCCACCUUGUGCAGCAAAACCCACCCCAUCCCCGCCGUGUGCCGAUCUACACCUGGCCCCCUUUCGGACCCCAUCGUCUUCUUCCCAUUCGACCGAACUUGUGGGGUCCAUAGACCCAGCUCGUCACAUCCUUUCUUGCCAUUUCCUGCUCCGUCCUGCCUCACGGCUUGGCCCCGAUCGGCGAGCGUCCUCAUGGGUGUUACUGUGUCCUAUAUUGACUGGUGAUCAGGGGUUCCCCGUUUGUACCUCUUUAACAAGGACAUACAUACAACUAUUAAGUCUGUAGUUAGUUACACCAAAUGCAGCCCAGAUCGACAUACUAGAUAUUAGUAUAUAUCAUGAAAAAGGGAA
rnacentral:sRNA from 1 species